AUAGAACCAAAUAGUUCUCUCUACCAUUUACAACCAUUGCGCCACCCUUCUCCAGUCGCGGGAUCCAUGCUCUUUCAAUUAUAGUACUACCUAUUUUCUAUAUUCAUUACUACAUGAGUUAAGAUAGUCCAUAGUAAUUAGAGUGACGAAAGCAGUAAAUCAAGAAAAGGCAACCACCGCAUCAACACAACGCCGAGCUGCGCGACGCCGAGCUGCACGAUGCCGAGCUGCACGAUGCCGAGCUGCGCGACGCCGAAGAGCACAAUGCCGAGCUGCAUGGCGACGCCGAAAAUCUGCAUGGCGACGUCGAGAGAUCGGAGGGAAGAUCAGCGAGAGGCGAGAACGACAUGCAGACGUCGGUCGCGACAACAAGGGGAAGAAGAGUUCGGCGCGCGCCUCUCCGAUUCGGCGAUUACGUCGCGAAGUAGAAUUAGGAUUCUCUUUUUCCUUUUAGAUUUUAUUUCCUUUUUAUGUCUUUCUUAUUUUUGGUAACUUAGUUAUUUUAAUGAGUCGAGCAUAUCUAUAAGCUCCGUUUCGGGUUUUCUUUGUUGGUUCUUUCCCGAGAUGCAUUAGGUUUAGAAGUCGAACCAACCCUAGGGUCCUUAGUCUAUAAAUAGGGCUUUGUUUAUCAAGUUACGGAUGAAUAAGAAUUACAAUAUUUGCCCACAAAA